GAAUGUGUGGCUUAAUGGAAAGAGCAUGGGUUUGGUAGUCAAAGGUCAUGGGUUCUAAUCCCAACUCUUCCA
rnacentral:tRNA from 1 species